AUUGAACGCUGGCGGCAUGCCUUACACAUGCAAGUCGAACGGCAGCACGGGUGCUUGCACCUGGUGGCGAGUGGCGAACGGGUGAGUAAUACAUCGGAACGUACCUUAUCGUGGGGGAUAACGCAGCGAAAGCUGUGCUAAUACCGCAUCCGCCCUGAGGGGGAAAGCGGGGGAUCGCAAGACCUCGCGCGAUUAGAGCGGCCGAUGCCUGAUUAGCUUGUUGGUGGGGUAAAAGCCCACCAAGGCGACGAUCAGUAGCUGGUCUGAGAGGACGAUCAGCCACACUGGGACUGAGACACGGCCCAGACUCCUACGGGAGGCAGCAGUGGGGAAUUUUGGACAAUGGGGGCAACCCUGAUCCAGCAAUGCCGCGUGAGUGAAGAAGGCCUUCGGGUUGUAAAGCUCUUUUGUCAGGGAAGAAACAGCAGCUCUAACACAGUUUGCGAAUGACGGUACCUGAAGAAUAAGCACCGGCUAACUACGUGCCAGCAGCCGCGGUAA
rnacentral:rRNA from 1 species